rnacentral:rRNA from 1 species
GAUGAACGCUGGCGGCGUGCCUAAUACAUGCAAGUCGAGCGAAUGGAUUAAGAGCUUGCUCUUAUGAAGUUAGCGGCGGACGGGUGAGUAACACGUGGGUAACCUGCCCAUAAGACUGGGAUAACUCCGGGAAACCGGGGCUAAUACCGGAUCACAUUUUCAACCGCAUGGCUCGACAUUGAAAAGCGGCAUCGGCUGUCACUUAUGGAUGGACCCGCGUCGCAUUAGCUAGUUGGUGAGGUAACGGCUCACCAAGGCAACGAUGCGUAGCCGACCCGAGAGGGUGAUCGGCCACACUGGGACUGAGACACGGCCCAGACUCCUACGGGAGGCAGCAGUAGGGAAUCUUCCGCAAUGGACGAAAGUCUGACGGAGCAACGCCGCGUGAGUGAUGAAGGCUUUCGGGUCGUAAAACUCUGUUGUUAGGGAAGAACAAGUGCUAGUUGAAUAAGCUGGCACCUUGACGGUACCUAACCAGAAAGCCACGGCUAACUACGUGCCAGCCGCCGGGUAAA